GACGAACGCUGGCGGCGUGCUUAACACAUGCAAGUCGAACGGAAAGGCCCUGCUUUUGUGGGGUGCUCGAGUGGCGAACGGGUGAGUAACACGUGAGUAACCUGCCCUUGACUUUGGGAUAACUUCAGGAAACUGGGGCUAAUAUCGGACAGGAGCUCCUGCUGCAUGGAGGGGGUUGGAAAGUUUCGGCGGUUGGGGAUGGACUCGCGGCUUAUCAGCUUGUUGGUGGGGUAGUGGCUUACCAAGGCUUUGACGGGUAGCCGGCCUGAGAGGGUGACCGGCCACAUUGGGACUGAGAUACGGCCCAGACUCCUACGGGAGGCAGCAGUGGGGAAUAUUGCACAAUGGGCGGAAGCCUGAUGCAGCAACGCCGCGUGCGGGAUGACGGCCUUCGGGUUGUAAACCGCUUUCGCCUGUGACGAAGCGUGAGUGACGGUAAUGGGUAAAGAAGCACCGGCUAACUACGUG
rnacentral:rRNA from 1 species